rnacentral:rRNA from 1 species
UGGGGAAUUUUGGACAAUGGGCGAAAGCCUGAUCCAGCCAUUCCGCGUGCAGGAUGAAGGCCCUCGGGUUGUAAACUGCUUUUGUACGGAACGAAAAGCGCCUGGUUAAUACCUGGGCGUCAUGACGGUACCGUAAGAAUAAGCACCGGCUAACUACGUGCCAGCAGCCGCGGUAAUACGUAGGGUGCAAGCGUUAAUCGGAAUUACUGGGCGUAAAGCGUGCGCAGGCGGUUAUGUAAGACAGGUGUGAAAUCCCCGGGCUUAACCUGGGAACUGCAUUUGUGACUGCAUAGCUAGAGUACGGUAGAGGGGGAUGGAAUUCCGCGUGUAGCAGUGAAAUGCGUAGAUAUGCGGAGGAACACCGACGGCGAAGGCAAUCCCCUGGACCUGUACUGACGCUCAUGCACGAAAGCGUGGGGAGCAAACAGGAUUAGAUACCC